rnacentral:misc_RNA from 1 species
AAAGUCGUAACAAGGUUUCCGUAGGUGAACCUGCGGAAGGAUCAUUAGUGAUAUUGAAAAUCCAUUUUCAAGUCUCUAUAUAUACCCUUUUGUCAACCAUACCAUUAUUGCUUCCACUGGACAGCAUAUUGCCUCUCGUGGUGAUAUCCUCUGGCGCCUUGUGCGCUGGAGAGUGCCAGUGGAAAGAUCUUUAAAAACCUGUCUUUAGAAACACUUGUCUGACAAAUUUAUUCUUAAUAAGAUAAAACUUUCAACAACGGAUCUCUAGGCUCUU